UAAGAUGUGUGUGUCAUAUAUUAUACGUCACUUAAUAAUUGAUUUUGGUGAACAACAAUAGGGUGAGGUGAACCCAACUUUGGAAGGGUGUUUUGUCACUAUCAUACAAGAUGUCUAAUGACAUACAACCUCGUGUUAUCAUAAGACAGGGUUGUGCACAUCCACUUGCUGAGUAUAUCUACGAGCACUACCUAUAUGAUCUCGGAGUUU
rnacentral:lncRNA from 1 species